rnacentral:tRNA from 1 species
AAGGGGAUGGCUCAGUGGUACAGCAUGUGUUUAGCAUGCCCGAGGUCCUGGGUUCAACUCCCAGUCCCUCCA